UGGAUUGAAGUAGCAGGAAGGAUAUCUGCAUUGCUCACUGCUUAGAGAAAGUUUGCCAUUUGCAUGGUUGCAUGGCUCCCUUUAGGCAAUGGGAGGUCUCCCUGGAGCUUCUUCUCCAGGCAGAACAGCUCUCAGCCCAGUGUCAUAACCAGCAGUGCUCCAACCCUC